AGCUCCAAUAGCGUAUAUUAAAGUUGCUGCAGUUAAAAAGCUCGUAGUUGGAUCUCAGGGUACCUGGUCUAGCCGAUAUAGCUCACGCUAAAACUGGUCUGACCCCCUAACGUGAGGUAUUCGUCUCCGGGUGCACUUCAUUGGGUGCUCGUGAGGGGCCUCGUAGUUACUGUGAAAAAAUUAGAGUGUUCAAAGCAGGCUCAUAUGUUCGGAUAGUUGUGCAUGGAAUAACUGAAUACGUGACUGGCGCUUUUCAGUUGGUCUCGGCGACUGGUCAAGAGGUGAAAAUUCUUGGAUCCUCGCCAGACCAACAAAAGCGAAAGCAUUUGCCAAGAAUGUCUUCA
rnacentral:rRNA from 1 species